AUAAUCCUAUAGGUGAGGGGUCUCCAUACACUUUUACUCACCAAUGAUUAGGGAUAGAAAUGUCAUUUUAUCUAUAAAAAUUAACAAAAGCAAAUAGAGGAUAAUGGAAAGGGUAUUUAUGAUAGUGUAUAAGGUUUGAGAGGGUAUUAAUGAUAUUUCAAAAUUUUGAAGGGUAUCUAUGAUAUUUUUGAAUUUUACAAGGGUAGUUAUGAAAUU
rnacentral:lncRNA from 1 species